rnacentral:rRNA from 1 species
UACGGAGGGUGCAAGCGUUAAUCGGAAUUACUGGGCGUAAAGCGUGCGCAGGCGGUUUGUUAAGUCCGUUGUGAAAGCCCCGAGCUCAACUUGGGAAUUGCAGUGGAUACUGGCAGGCUGGAGUACGGUAGAGGAAGGUGGAAUUCCCGGUGUAGCAGUGAAAUGCGUAGAGAUCGGGAGGAACACCAGAGGCGAAAGCGGCGACCUGGACAAUGACUGACACUCAACUGCGAAAGCGUGGGGAGCAAACAGG